rnacentral:rRNA from 1 species
CUACGUGCCAGCAGCCGCGGUAAUACGGAGGGUGCAAGCGUUAAUCGGAAUUACUGGGCGUAAAGCGCACGCAGGCGGUCUGUCAAGUCGGAUGUGAAAUCCCCGGGCUCAACCUGGGAACUGCAUUCGAAACUGGCAGGCUAGAGUCUUGUAGAGGGGGGUAGAAUUCCAGGUGUAGCGGUGAAAUGCGUAGAGAUCUGGAGGAAUACCGGUGGCGAAGGCGGCCCCCUGGACAAAGACUGACGCUCAGGUGCGAAAGCGUGGGAAGCAAACAGGAUUAGAUACCCUGGUAGUCCACGCCGUAAACGAUGUCGACUUGGAGGUUGUGCCCUUGAGGCGUGGCUUCCGGAGCUAACGCGUUAAGUCGACCGCCUGGGGAGUACGGCCGCAAGGUUAAAACUCAAAUGAAUUGACGGGGGCCCGCACAAGCGGUGGAGCAUGUGGUUUAAUUCGAUGCAACGCGAAGAACCUUACCUACUCUUGACAUCCAGA